GACGAACGCUGGCGGCACGCCUAACACAUGCAAGUCGAACGGACGAGAGGAAGCUUGCUUCCUUGAGUUAGUGGCGGACGGGUGAGUAACACGUGAGCAACCUGCCUCUGAGAGAGGGAUAGCUUCUGGAAACGGAUGGUAAUACCUCAUAACAUAUUUAAAUCGCAUGAUUUGAAUAUCAAAGAAAUUCGCUCAGAGAUGGGCUCGCGUCUGAUUAGAUAGUUGGUGAGGUAACGGCUCACCAAGUCGACGAUCAGUAGCCGGACUGAGAGGUUGAACGGCCACAUUGGGACUGAGACACGGCCCAG
rnacentral:rRNA from 1 species